CAGCACCUCAAGUGGUCAGGAUGAUUAUUGGGCCUAAAGCAUCCGUAGCCGGCUCUGUAAGUUUUCGGUUAAAUCUGUACGCUUAACGUACAGGCUGCCGGGAAUACUGCAAAGCUAGGGAGUGGGAGAGGUAGACGGUACUCGGUAGGAAGGGGUAAAAUCCUUUGAUCUAUUGAUGACCACCUGUGGCGAAGGCGGUCUACCAGAACACGUCCGACGGUGAGGGAUGAAAGCUGGGGGAGCAAACCGGAUUAGAUACCCGCGUAGUCC
rnacentral:rRNA from 1 species